rnacentral:rRNA from 1 species
CCUACGGGAGGCAGCAGUGAGGAAUAGUGGGCAAUGGGCGAGAGCCUGAACCAGCCAAGUCGCGGGAAGGAUGAAGGAGCGAUGGUUUGUAAACUUCUGUUAUAUGGGAAUAAAGUGAGGAACGUGUGCCUUUUUGUAUGUACCAUAUGAAUAAGCAUCGGCUAACUCCGUGCCAGCAGCCGCGGUAAUACGGAGGAUGCGAGCGUUAUCCGGAUUUCUUGGGUUUAAAGGGUGCGUAGGUGGUUAAUUAAGUCAGCGGUGAAAGUUUGUGGCUCAACCAUAAAAUUGCCGUUGAAACUGGUUGUCUUGAGUAUAUUUGAGGUCGGCGGCAUGCGUGGUGUCGCGGUGCUAUGCCUCGCUAUCACGCAGCACUCCGAUUGCG